rnacentral:rRNA from 1 species
GACGUAGGUGGCGACCGUUAUCCGGAAUCAUUGGGCGUAAAGGGUGCGUAGAUGGCAUGGUACGUUAUUAGUGGGAAAUCGAGGCUCAACCUCGUGGAAGCUAGUAAUACUGUUUUGCUUGAGUACAGAAGAGGUUAACGGAACUCCAUGUGGAGCGGUAAAAUGCGUAGAUAUAUGGAAGAACACCAAUAACGGCGAAGGCAGUUAACUAUUCUGUUACUGACAUUGAGGCACGAAAGCGUGGGGAGCAAAACGG